UACUCCCCAGGCGGUCUACUUAUCGCGUUAGCUGCGCCACUAAAGCCUCAAGGGCCCCAACGGCUAGUAGACAUCGUUUACGGCAUGGACUACCAGGGUAUCUAAUCCUGUUUGCUCCCCAUGCUUUCGCACCUCAGUGUCAGUAUUAGGCCAGAUGGCUGCCUUCGCCAUCGGUAUUCCUCCAGAUCUCUACGCAUUUCACCGCUACACCUGGAAUUCUACCAUCCUCUCCCAUACUCUAGCUAACCAGUAUCGAAUGCAAUUCCCAAGUUAAGCUCGGGGAUUUCACAUUUGACUUAAUUAGCCACCUACGCGCGCUUUACGCCCAGUAAAUCCGAUUAACGCUUGCACCCUCUGUAUUACCGCGGCUGCUGGCACAGAGUUAGCCGGUGCUUAUUCUGCGAGUAACGUCCACUUAUCCCAGGUAUUAACCAGGUAAGCCUCCUCCUCGCUUAAAGUGCUUUACAACCAAAAGGCCUUCUUCACACACGCGGCAUGGCUGGAUCAGGGUUGCCCCCAUUGUCCAAUAUUCCCCACUGCUGCCUCCCGU
rnacentral:rRNA from 1 species